rnacentral:lncRNA from 1 species
AUGCCAAAGCUACACAGCAAAGCAAUGACUGCCUUCAUUCAGACCCAGCAUCUCCAUGCAGCCAUAGUUGACAACGUUCCUGGAACACAUGUGCAACCUGGACAUUGACUCUGUGCCCAUCACAGCCCACAACACUGGCAUCAUUUGGACCAUUGGCCCUGCUUUCCAAUCUGUGGAGAUGUUGAAGGAGAGAUUAAGUCUGGAAUGAAUGUGGCUCGGCUGAUAUUCUCUCAUGGAACCAAUGAGUACCAUGCAAAGACCAUCAAGAGUAUCCGUGCAGCCACAGAAAGCUCCUGAUCUCAUUCUCUACCAUUCACUUUCCAUGGCUCUGGACACAAAGGAAUCUGAGAUUGAGAUGAGGCAUCAAGGGUAGCAGCACCUGCAAAAGUGGAAAUAACAAAGGGAGCCUGGACAACGCCUACAUGGAAUACUGUAACGAGAGCAUCCUGUGGCUGGACUAUAAGAACAUCUGCAAGGUGGUCGAGGUGGGCAGCAAGAUCUAGGUGGAUGGCAUACUCAUUUCACUGCAGGUGAAAGAGAAAGGUGCUGACUUCCUGGUGACAGAGGUAGACAAUGGUAGCUCCUUGGGCAACAAGAAAGGCUGCUGUGGACCUCCCUGCCAUGUCAGAAAAGGGAGUCCAGGAUCUGAAGUUUGGAGCGGAGCAAGAUGUAGACAUGGUGUUUGCAUCUUUCAUCCACAAGGCAGCCGAUGUGCAUGGGGUUUGGAAGGUCCUGGGAGAGAAGGGCAAGAACAUCAAGAUCAUCAGCAAAAUAGAGAACCAUGAAGGUGUCCACAGGCUUGAUGAGAUUUUGGAGGACAGUGACAGGAUCGUGGUGACCUGGGCAUUGAGAUUCCUGCAGAGGUCUUCCUGGCUCAGAAGAGGGUGAUUGGAUGAUGCAACCGAGCUGGAAAGCCUGUCAUCUGUGCCACACAGGCACGUGCUGUUUCCUUCCUUCUGCAUUCUCCACCUAGGAGACCUGGCCUUGUCCUGUCCUUUGGGCACACACAGCUGUGAUCUGUGCACCUGCACAAUUUUCAGGGGAUCAUCUUGGCAAUUAUCACUGAAGGUGGCCUAGUGUCUCAGCCUGGUCUUCUGCCAUUUAGUGAUGGUCUCUUAGAAGCCCUUCUAGAUGCUGGAAAGCAUGAUCAAGAAGUCACACCCCACCCAUGCUGAAGGCAGUGAUGUGGCCAAUGUCAUCCUAGAUAGAGCAGACUGCAUCAUGCUAUCAGGAGGAAUAGCCAAAGAGGACUACCCUCUGGAGGCUGUUCACAUGGAGAAAUCCCCAGACUGCUCACCAGGCCCAUCUGUACCUCAGCAUCUUCCCUCUGAAGUAUAUGACGCCUGGACUGAGGAUGUUAACCUUCAUGUAAAUUUGGCCAUGAAUAUUGGCAAGGUCAAAGGCUUCUUCAAGAAGGGAGAUGUGACCAUUGUGUUGACCAAGUGUUUCCCUGGUUGUGGCUUCAACAACACCGUGCGUGUAGUGCCUGUGCCUUGA